rnacentral:sRNA from 1 species
CUGAGGGAUGAAGUAGCCACCCCUGGAGGACUGGGGCACCCACUGGCUGGUUAAUGUCCCAUGGUGGGAGAAAGGACCAUGCUGACAUGCUGGCAUGUGGGGAAGCUCCAGUCACCUGGACUCCCUCGGCCUUUCCCUAAAGGACUGGUAAUGCGCUGAAGUGCACCUGGUGGACAUAUGGAAUGUCAUAGAAGCAUUGCGGGAAAAUGCUCUGAACAACCUGGACCCAAACACUGAACUCAACGUGUCCCGCUUAGAGGCUGUGCUCUCCACCAUUUUUUACCAGCUCAACAAACGGAUGCCAACCACUCACCAAAUCCAUGUGGAGCAGUCCAUCAGCCUCCUCCUUAACUUCCUGCUUGCAGCGUUUGAUCCGGAAGGCCAUGGUAAAAUUUCAGUAUUUGCUGCCAAAAUGGCUUUAGCCACCUUGUGUGGAGGGAAGAUCAUGGACAAGUUAAGAUAUAUUUUCUCAAUGAUUUCUGACUCCAGUGGGGUGAUGGUUUAUGGACGAUAUGACCAAUUCCUUCGGGAAGUUCUCAAACUACCCACAGCAGUUUUU